rnacentral:rRNA from 1 species
UACGGAAGGUGCAAGCGUUGUUCGGAAUCAUUGGGCGUAAAGGGUGCGUAGGCGGCCGCGCAAGUCUGGCGUGAAAGCCCCGGGCUCAGCCCGGGAAGGGCGCUCGAAACGGCGCGGCUCGAGUGCCGGAGGGGAGAGUGGAAUUCCUGGUGUAGCGGUGAAAUGCGUAGAUAUCAGGAGGAAUACCGGUGGCGAAAGCGACUCUCUGGACGGCAACUGACGCUGAGGCACGAAAGCGUGGGGAGCAAACAGG